rnacentral:rRNA from 1 species
UGAGUAAUGCCUAGGAAUCUGCCUGGUAGUGGGGGACAACGUUUCGAAAGGAACGCUAAUACCGCAUACGUCCUACGGGAGAAAGCAGGGGACCUUCGGGCCUUGCGCUAUCAGAUGAGCCUAGGUCGGAUUAGCUAGUUGGUGAGGUAAUGGCUCACCAAGGCGACGAUCCGUAACUGGUCUGAGAGGAUGAUCAGUCACACUGGAACUGAGACACGGUCCAGACUCCUACGGGAGGCAGCAGUGGGGAAUAUUGGACAAUGGGCGAAAGCCUGAUCCAGCCAUGCCGCGUGUGUGAAGAAGGUCUCCGGAUUGUAAAGCACUUUAAGUUGGGAGGAAGGGCAGUCAGCGAAUACCUUGCUGUCUUGACGUUACCGACAGAAUAAGCACCGGCUAACUCUGUGCCAGCAGCCGCGGUAAUACAGAGGGUGCAAGCGUUAAUCGGAAUUACUGGGCGUAAAGCGCGCGUAGGUGGUUUGUUAAGUUGGAUGUGAAAUCCCCGGG